rnacentral:RNase_P_RNA from 1 species
GUUGGCCGGAAGAAGACGGUUGGGAGAGACACAAAGGCUUCUAAUAGCCUCAUCAUAACUCCCGGGAAGGUCUGAGAGAAGGUCCCUGUGAGAUCUAGGAGAUCUUCCACUAUCCUUAUAGAGGAGAGGCUGUAGAAGAAGAGUUUCCCCCGCGCGGGUUUGGAAACGGCCUCGACCAGCAACUCCAUCGAAUUAGCUGAGUGCGAUCGUCACACCAACACAAUUCAGACUAGUCUUCGGCCAAC